rnacentral:rRNA from 1 species
ACGAACGCUGGCGGCGUGCUUCACACAUGCCAGUCGAACGGAAAGGCCCUGCUUGCAGGGUACUCGAGUGGCGAACGGGUGAGUAACACGUGGGUGAUCUGCCCUGCACUUCGGGAUAAGCCUGGGAAACUGGGUCUAAUACCGGAUAGGAGCCAUUUUUAGUGUGAUGGUUGGAAAGUUUUUUCGGUGUAGGAUGAGCUCGCGGCCUAUCAGCUUGUUGGUGGGGUAAUGGCCUACCAAGGCGGCGACGGGUAGCCGGCCUGAGAGGGUGGACGGCCACAUUGGGACUGAGAUACGGCCCAGACUCCUACGGGAGGCAGCAGUGGGGAAUAUUGCACAAUGGGCGCAAGCCUGAUGCAGCGACGCCGCGUGGGGGAUGACGGCCUUCGGGUUGUAAACUCCUUUCGCUAGGGACGAAGCUUUUUGUGACGGUACCUAGAGAAGAAGCACCGGCUAACUACGUG